rnacentral:rRNA from 1 species
GAUGAAUGCUGGCGGCGUGCCUAACACAUGCAAGUCGAGCGGCAGCGCGAGUAGUUUACUACUUGGCGGCGAGCGGCGGACGGCUGAGUAACGCGUGGGAACGUGCCCCAAAGUGAGGGAUAACCGCUCGAAAGAGUGGCUAAUACCGCAUAUGAUCUUCGGAUUAAAGUAUUUAUACGCUUUGGGAGCGGCCCGCGUCGGAUUAGGUAGUUGGUGAGGUAAAGGCUCACCAAGCCGACGAUCCGUAGCUGGUCUGAGAGGAUGAUCAGCCAGACUGGGACUGAGACACGGCCCAGACUCCUACGGGAGGCAGCAGUGAGGAAUCUUCCACAAUGGGCGAAAGCCUGAUGGAGCAACGCCGCGUGCAGGAUGAAGGCCUUCGGGUUGUAAACUGCUUUUAUAAGUGAAGAAUAUGACGGUAACUUAUGAAUAAGCACCGGCUAACUACGUGCCAGCAGCCGCGGUCAUACGUAGGGUGCAAGCAUUAUCCGGAGUGACUGGGCGUAAAGAGUUGCGUAGGUGGUUUGUUAAGUAGAUAGUGAAAGCUAACGGCUCAACCGUAUAGACUAUUAUCUAAACUGGCAAACUCGAGAAUGGUAGAGGUAACUGGAAUUUCUUGUGUAGGAGUGAAAUCCGUAGAUAUAAGAAGGAACACCAAUGGCGUAGGCAGGUUACUGGACCAUUUCUGACACUGAGGCACGAAAGCGUGGGGAGCGAACGGGAUUAGAUACCCCGGUAGUCCACGCCGUAAACGAUGGAUACUAGCUGUAGGAGGUAUCGACCCCUUCUGUAGCGAAGCUAACGCGUUAAGUAUCCCGCCUGUGGAGUACGGUCGCAAGACUAAAACAUAAAGGAAUUGACGGGGACCCGCACAAGCGGUGGAUUGUGUUCUUUAAUUCGAUGAUAAACGAAAAACCUUACCAGGGUUUGAAAUCCCGAGAAUUUUGCCGAAAGGCGAGAGUGCUUUAUUGAACUCGGUGACAGGUGAUGCAUGGCCGUCGUCAGCUCGUGUCGUGAGAUGUUUGGUUAAGUCCAUCAACGAGCGCAACCCUUGUGAAUAGUUGGAUUUUUCUAUUCAGACUGCCCCGGCAACGGGGAGGAAGGAGGGGAUGAUGUCAGGUCAGUAUUUCCCUUACAUCCUGGGCUAGAAACGCAAUACAAUGGCCAGUACAAUGCGCAGCGAAGCCGCGAGGUGAAGCAAAUCGCAUCAAAGCUGGUCCCAGUUCGGAUUAGAGGCUGAAACUCGCCUCUAUGAAGUCGGAAUCGCUAGUAAUCGCAGAUCAGCAAGCUGCGGUGAAUACGUUCCCGGGUCCUUGUACACACCGC